CUUAGCAAUCCACUCUUCACGCAGUACUACACUACAACUUCGUAUCACCAGCGGAAACUAUAGUUCGCACCUCAGUAUUUCCUUCAAAUAGAGCAGCGGAGCUCCAGUCAAAAUGAAGACCUCCCUGACACUGCUGGCGCUGGUAUUCAUCGCGUCCCACGUUCCAAUCGCACACGGCGGCCCCGUGCCACUCUACGCGGCACCCUUAGUUGCUGUGGCACCCACCGUUCUGGCAGCACCGUCUGCCGUCUCCUACGCGUACACUCACCGGGUCCACGCACCGCUGGCCGCCGCCUACCCUCUGCAAUACGUCAUCGGAUGAAUGUGAAAUGACGAGGACAUAAAGAAAGUAUGACGAGUCCUGCUCAACAGUCUGAGGACGCAGUGAUGGCGUGAAUAAAGAGAUGGUGUGCUCCACUGGUGGCCUUGGAUCGCUCAUCGAUGAGGUUAACGACGUAUAGGACGAAAUCAUGUCAGAAAAGCAUCUCUGUGACGCGAUCGAAUUGACUACAUUGCUUCAAUACUAGAGGUUUUGUGAGACUAGUCACUUGUUAAUAAAUUUCUUGCUUUCACA